rnacentral:tRNA from 1 species
GGGGGCGUAAGCUCAACGGUUAAACUGUCGGUCUCCAAAACCGAACUUCUCGGUUCGAAUCCGAGCGCCCCCGCCA